rnacentral:rRNA from 1 species
CGGCGGACGGGUGAGUAAUGCCUAGGAAUCUGCCUGGUAGUGGGGGAUAACGUCCGGAAACGGACGCUAAUACCGCAUACGUCCUACGGGAGAAAGCAGGGGACCUUCGGGCCUUGCGCUAUCAGAUGAGCCUAGGUCGGAUUAGCUAGUUGGUGGGGUAAUGGCUCACCAAGGCGACGAUCCGUAACUGGUCUGAGAGGAUGAUCAGUCACACUGGAACUGAGACACGGUCCAGACUCCUACGGGAGGCAGCAGUGGGGAAUAUUGGACAAUGGGCGAAAGCCUGAUCCAGCCAUGCCGCGUGUGUGAAGAAGGUCUUCGGAUUGUAAAGCACUUUAAGUUGGGAGGAAGGGCAGUAAAUUAAUACUUUGCUGUUUUGACGUUACCGACAGAAUAAGCACCGGCUAACUCUGUGCCAGCAGCCGCGGUAAUACAGAGGGUGCAAGCGUUAAUCGGAAUUACUGGGCGUAAAGCGCGCGUAGGUGGUUCGUUAAGUUGGAUGUGAAAUCCCCGGGCUCAACCUGGGAACUGCAUU